GGGAGCGGAUGUUAGGCUGCCGCGGUCUUCAAAACCGUAGUGGUAAUGCGAGAGUCUUGCUGGGUGGGUUCGAUUCCCACACGUUCCCGCCA
rnacentral:tRNA from 1 species